GCGGAGGAACAUGUGGUUUAAUUCGAUGAUACGCGAGGAACCUUACCUGGGCUUAAAUGGGGAGUGACAGCUGUCGAAAGAUGGUUUUCUUCGGACACUCUUCAAGGUGCUGCAUGGUUGUCGUCAGCUCGUACCGUGAGGUGUCGGGUUAAGUCCCAUAACGAGCGCAACCCUUACCGUUAGUUACCAUCAGGUUAAGCUGGGGGACUCUAGCGGGACUGCCACCGUAAGGUGAGAGGAAGGUGGGGAUGACGUCAAAUCAGCACGGCCCUUAUGUCCAGGGCUACACACGUGUUACAAUGGCCAGUACAAAGGGCAGCUACCGGGUGACCGGAUACUAAUCUCUAAAGCUGGUCUCAGUUCGGAUCGAAGUCUGCAACCCGACUUCGUGAAGCUGGAUUCGCUAGUAAUCGCGCAUCAGCCAUGGCGCGGUGAAUACGUUCCCGGGCCUU
rnacentral:rRNA from 1 species